UACGGGGGGGGCAAGCGUUGUUCGGAAUUACUGGGCGUAAAGGGCGCGUAGGCGGCCUUCUAAGUCGGACGUGAAAUCCCUCGGCUUAACCGAGGAACUGCGUCCGAUACUGAAAGGCUUGAAUCCGGGAGAGGGAUGUGGAAUUCCAGGUGUAGCGGUGAAAUGCGUAGAUAUCGGGAGGAACACCAGUGGCGAGGGCGACUACCUGGCCUGUUCUUGACGCUGAGGCGCGAAAGCUAGGGGAGCAAACGGG
rnacentral:rRNA from 1 species